rnacentral:tRNA from 1 species
GCCUGGGUGGCUCAGUUGGUUGAGCUUCUGACUUCGGCUCAGGUCAUGCUCUCACAGUUUGUGGGUUUGAGCCCUGCAUCGGGCU